GAUGAACGCUGGCGGCGUGCCUAAUACAUGCAAGUCGAGCGAACAGACGAGGAGCUUGCUCCUCUGACGUUAGCGGCGGACGGGUGAGUAACACGUGGAUAACCCACCUAUAAGACUGGGAUAACUUCGGGAAACCGGAGCUAAUACCGGAUAAUAUAUUGAACCGCAUGGUUCAGUAGUGAAAGACGGUUUUGCUGUCACUUAUAGAUGGAUCCGCGCCGCAUUAGCUAGUUGGUAAGGUAACGGCUUACCAAGGCAACGAUGCGUAGCCGACCUGAGAGGGUGAUCGGCCACACUGGAACUGAGACACGGUCCAGACUCCUACGGGAGGCAGCAGUAGGGAAUCUUCCGCAAUGGGCGAAAGCCUGACGGAGCAACGCCGCGUGAGUGAUGAAGGUCUUCGGAUCGUAAAACUCUGUUAUUAGGGAAGAACAAAUGUGUAAGUAACUAUGCACGUCUUGACGGUACCUAAUCAGAAAGCCACGGCUAACUACGUG
rnacentral:rRNA from 1 species